CCAUGUUUUGAUUUUUCGUCUUAUUUAAAAAAUUUGCAAUUAAUAUUUUUGUUUUUACUAGAUGAUAAAAAUAUGAAUAGUACUUUAUGCUUGACUAAUUUUUUAAGUUUUUGUAUAAAUUUUUCAAAAAAGACGAAUGGUCAGAGCAUUGGACUCAAAAUC
rnacentral:pre_miRNA from 1 species